GGCUGUCAACAUCCGCUCCCUUUAACUAGAAGCUGCGUCAUACACACGGAGCAUUUGGGAGACCACGAUGUCGUCUUCCUUCUGUCAGGAGGAUCCAAGUGAAGCUACAGGAGUAUGAUGAAGAGCAAGAAGGGCAGCCUGGAGAGAAAGAGGAGCCGGGUUGAGCCCACUACUCUCAUCCACGUACCACGAGGAAGAUGAGGGAGAGAAAUUAUCCUACCAUUAAAGAGACUGUGCAAAGAAUGUUGAGAACAUCACCACUCUACAGGAAUACACAGUCCAGUAAUGUGUGUCAGAAGUUCAGUAGUGAACGACAAGUACUGUGGAAA